UACGGAGGGGGCUAGCGUUGUUCGGAAUCACUGGGCUUAAAGCGUGUGUAGGUGGAUCGUUAAGUACCUUGUGAAAUCCCACGGCUUAACCGUGGAACUGCUUGGUAUACUGGCGGUCUUGAGCCAGCUAGGGGCUACCGGAACAAAUGGUGGAGCGGUGAAAUGCGUAGAUAUCGAGAGGAACACCAGAGGUGAAGACGGGUUGCUGGGCCGACACUGACGCUGAGGAGCGAAAGCGUGGGGAGCGAACAGG
rnacentral:rRNA from 1 species